rnacentral:rRNA from 1 species
GAUGAAUGCUGGCGGCGUGCCUAACACAUGCAAGUCGAGCGGUAACAGGUCUAGUUUACUAGAUGCUGACGAGCGGCGGACGGCUGAGUAACGCGUGGGAAAGUGCCCCAAAGGGAGGAAUAACUGUCCGAAAGAGUGGCUAAUGCCGCAUAUUAUCUUCGGACUAAAGGAGUUAUCCGCUUUGGGAGCGGCCCGCGUUGGAUUAGGUAGUUGGUAGGGUAAUGGCCUACCAAGCCGACGAUCUAUAGCUGGUCUGAUAGGAUGAUCAGCCAGACGGGGACUGAGACACGGCCCAGACUCCGACGGGAGGCAGCAGUGAGGAAUCUUCCACAAUGGGCGAAAGCCUGAUGGAGCAACGCCGCGUGAAGGAUGAAGGCCCUCGGGUUGUAAACUUCUUUUAUAAGUGAAGAAUAUGACGGUAACUUAUGAAUAAGCACCGGCUAACUACGUGCCAGCCGCCGCGGUAA